UAACAUAAAUUUGAAUAUCCUAUUUGAGUUCCUUUUGUUUUUAUGUCUUUUUAUGUCCUGAAUCCAUUGUUGAGAUAUUAUCUACACUUUCAACUACAACCUUCGCAUUCAUUCCCUUCUCCAUUUCCAAAGCCCUAAACACCAAAUUCCCUUUCUUUCCUUGAUGCAUACACACUCAUCGUUUCUCACAGGCUCACCUUGAACAAGUAUGCCCUUCUUUCUAUUGCACCCAAAAAGAAAAUGCGAGAAGAAGAAAAGAAAGAAAUAAAAGAGAACCCUUAGAACAAGUUAUUUGUAAGAAAUACUAGUGGGAAGUCAAAAUGCAGGCUUGCAAUGGAGCUGCAAUGAUGGGUUCUCUACAACGGCUUAUACUGGUGAAAGGGAAUACACCAAUAUAAAUAAAGAACGGGUCAAAUAUAUGUAUAUACUUAAUAGUUAAUUUCAAAUUAAUGAUAAGUUGAUUAGGAAUUAGGGUUAAUGUGCCAAAGUUAUAUAUAUUAAGGUUAUGCUACUCAAAUUACACACAAUAUAACUUUUCUAAUCUCUCAUUUUUAGAAAAAAGAAAACCAUUUUCUCAA